CCGCCGAACAUUGCAUGGAUGCGGAGGCACAUUCGGCCCCCGAACGUGGCCUGGCCAGCCACCUAUAAAAGGGGCACUUAGCCGAAAUGGGCGAGCUUUCUCCCAUUUUCGGCCACAGCAAGCUUCCGACCUUCCCUUUGCAAAUCUUGUGUUCUUCCUCCAAAUCUCUUCCAUUUUCCUUGAGUUUUAAACUCACAUUGCAAGUUUUGAGCAUUUAAACCAAGUUUUGGAGCUUUGGGAACUCAGGAGCUCAUUUUCGUGGAUCUCCAAGUUUAGGUCGUCUCCCUCUCGAUCUUCAAGAGGUAAGAGCCGAUCUUAAGCUCCUUAUAUGUUUUAAGUAAGUUUUAAGUUGUUUUAUGGGUAGAGAUGCAUGUUUAGGCUUAUUGAUGAGUUUAUGGAUUUUGAUGUUUUGAUGAACAAUGUAUGUUGUUUGUGUGUGUUGAAGUGUUGUAGUUGGGGUAUUUGAUAGUUUGAGACCCCUAGGUGUGAUGUAUGGUGUUUAUGCAUGUUUUAGAACAAGUUUAUGCAUGAUUGGUGAGUUUAAAGGCAAAAAUGCUUAAGGGAGCCAAGUUUCUGCCCUUUGGCAGAAACCAGGUUCGGCAGCCGAAGGGAGUUUCGGCCGCCGAACAUGGCUUGAGAGGCAGCUUUAGGCUGCCGAAGCUUGCCCCCGAAAGUUGGAGUUUCGGCUCUGUCCGAGACUUUCGGCCGCCGAAGGUGCCGCCGAACAUGCAUGAGUUUCGCCUCUGUCUGGGAGUUUCGGCCGCCGAAGGUGCCGCCGAACCUGCCUGACUUUCGGCUCUGGAGGGACUUCCGGCCGCCGAAGGUGCCGCCGAAAGUGCCCUGUCUAGCCUUUUCUUGCAUGCUUCCUAGGAGUGUUUUGAGGUGUUUUUAGGAGGUUUUUGGGGGUAUGUUUAGAGUUAUGUUCUUGUUGUUUGGUGCCUCAUUUGAGUCCACCUGUGUAGGUUCGGACCCGAGGAACCGAGACCCCCGGUUGUGAGAUAGUCGUUCAGAGUUCAUCGUUAAAGCUUCAGUCACCAGGUGAGUGGAACAACCCCUUAAGUUUUAAAGUAAAGUAAAUGAAUAAAUGAAUGAAUCAUAAAGCAUUGCCCAUGCAUCAUUAUGCCAUGCAAUAUUUCAGGAUGUUUGCAUUAGAAUUCACGAAUAUGCUGCAUUGCAUAAAUUGAUGUUGAUGUGGAUGGUUGUUGGGUGAUCCAUAGUCCUCUGAUGUUAUGUUAUGAUGAUAUGUUAUGGAAGACCAGCGAGGCCCAUUCUACGCCCCUGGCACUAUGUAAGAGAAAGACCAGCGAGGCCCAUUCUACGCCCCUGGCACUUUAGAAUGUUAUGUUAUGUAAGAGAAAGACCAGUGAGGCCCAUUCUACGCCCCUGGCAUUUGGAGAUGUUGAGGACUAAUGGUGACAAUACCAUCCUUUAUGUGAUUAGCUGUGAUGUGUUGCAUUUCAUGAAAGCAUGAAUAAGAAAAAAGUUAAAAUAAUAAUAAUAAUAAUAAAAUGAAUAAUAAUAUACCUAAAAAUGGAGGAAUUAAAGCAAAUGUUUUUAGUUUCUGCUCAUUGGGCUUUAUAGCUCACCCCCUCUCCCCUAACCCCAGUCUUGCAGGUGCAGAGUAGAUAGAGAAGUCAGCAGAGUAAGAGAAGUUUAUGUAAUAGCUUAGCUGUGGACAUGGUUUGUUGGUAAUGUAAAAGUAUGAGAUGUAAUGUAAUGUAAGUUUGAUGAUGUGCUUGACUAGAGUC
rnacentral:lncRNA from 1 species